GACGAACGCUGGCGGCAGGCCUAACACAUGCAAGUCGAGCGAGCGGCGGACGGGUGAGUAAUGUCUGGGAAACUGCCUGAUGGAGGGGGAUAACUACUGGAAACGGUAGCUAAUACCGCAUACCAUCAGAUGUGCCCAGAUGGGAUUAGCUGGUAGGUGGGGUAACGGCUCACCUAGGCGACGAUCCCUAGCUGGUCUGAGAGGAUGACCAGCCACACGGGAACUGAGACACGGUCCAGACUCCUACGGGAGGCAGCAGUGGGGAAUAUUGCACAAUGGGCGGAAGCCUGAUGCAGCCAGGCCGCGUGUGUGAAGAAGGCCUUCGGGUUGUAAAGCACUUUCAGCGGGGAGGGGUUACCCGCAGAAGAAGCACCGGCUAACUCCGUGCCAGCCGCCGCGGUAAUUC
rnacentral:rRNA from 1 species